GAGAUGAGAAUGUGCCUUCGGGAACCGUGAGACAGGUGCUGCAUGGCUGUCGUCAGCUCGUGUUGUGAAAUGUUGGGUUAAGUCCCGCAACGAGCGCAACCCUUAUCCUUUGUUGCCAGCGGUCCGGCCGGGAACUCAAAGGAGACUGCCAGUGAUAAACUGGAGGAAGGUGGGGAUGACGUCAAGUCAUCAUGGCCCUUACGACCAGGGCUACACACGUGCUACAAUGGCGCAUACAAAGAGAAGCGACCUCGCGAGAGCAAGCGGACCUCAUAAAGUGCGUCGUAGUCCGGAUUGGAGUCUGCAACUCGACUCCAUGAAGUCGGAAUCGCUAGUAAUCGUGGAUCAGAAUGCCACGGUGAAUACGUUCCCGGGCCUUGUACACACCGCCCGUCACACCAUGGGAGUGGGUUGCAAAAGAAGUAGGUAGCUUAACCUUCGGGAGGGCGCUUACCACUUUGUGAUUCAUGACUGGGGUGAAGUCGUAACAAGGUAACCGUAGGGGAACC
rnacentral:rRNA from 1 species